ACUCCUACGGGAGGCAGCAGUGGGGAAUAUUGCACAAUGGGGGAAACCCUGAUGCAGCCAUGCCGCGUGUGUGAAGAAGGCCUUCGGGUUGUAAAGCACUUUCAGUAGGGAGGAAGGUAGUGUAGUUAACACCUGCAUUAUUUGACGUUACCUACAGAAGAAGCACCGGCUAACUCCGUAGCCAGCAGCCGCGGUAAUACGGAGGGUGCGAGCGUUAAUCGGAAUUACUGGGCGUAAAGCGCAUGCAGGCGGCCUGUUAAGUCAGAUGUGAAAGCCCGGGGCUUAACCUCGGAAUUGCAUUUGAAACUGGCAGGCUAGAGUCUUGUAGAAGGGGGGUAGAAUUUCAGGUGUAGCGGUGAAAUGCGUAGAGAUCUGAAGGAAUACCAGUGGCGAAGG
rnacentral:rRNA from 1 species